rnacentral:tRNA from 1 species
GGUCCCAUCGUCUAGCCCGGCCUAGGACGACUCCCUCUCACGGAGUAAACUGGGGUUCGAAUCCCCAUGGGACUACCA